rnacentral:rRNA from 1 species
AUUGAACGCUGGCGGCAUGCCUUACACAUGCAAGUCGAACGGUAACGGGCCUUCGGGUGCCGACGAGUGGCGAACGGGUGAGUAAUGUAUCGGAACGUACCAUUGAGUGGGGGAUAGCGUAGCGAAAGUUACGCUAAUACCGCAUAUUCUCUCCGGAGGAAAGCAGGGGACCGCAAGGCCUUGCGCUCUUUGAGCGGCCGAUAUCAGAUUAGCUAGUUGGUGGGGUAAAAGCUCACCAAGGCGACGAUCUGUAGCGGGUCUGAGAGGAUGAUCCGCCACACUGGAACUGAGACACGGUCCAGACUCCUACGGGAGGCAGCAGUGGGGAAUUUUGGACAAUGGGGGCAACCCUGAUCCAGCCAUGCCGCGUGAGUGAAGAAGGCCUUCGGGUUGUAAAGCUCUUUCAGCCGGGAAGAAAACGCACUCUCUAAUACAGGGUGUGGAUGACGGUACCGGAAUAAGAAGCACCGGCUAACUACGUGCCAGCAGCCGCGGUAAAAC